rnacentral:rRNA from 1 species
CCUACGGGGGGCAGCAGUGAGGAAUAUUGGUCAAUGGCCGCAGGGCUGAACCAGCCAAGUCGCGUGAGGGAUGACGGUCCUAUGGAUUGUAAACCUCUUUUGUCAGGGAGCAAAGGGCGCCACGUGUGGCGCUUUGCGAGUACCUGAAGAAAAAGCAUCGGCUAACUCCGUGCCAGCAGCCGCGGUAAUACGGAGGAUGCGAGCGUUAUCCGGAUUUAUUGGGUUUAAAGGGUGCGCAGGCGGAAUGUCAAGUCAGCGGUAAAAUUUCGGGGCUCAACCCCGUCGUGCCGUUGAAACUGGCGUUCUUGAGUGAGCGAGAAUUAUGCGGAAUGCGUGGUGUAGCGGUGAAAUGCAUAGAUAUCACGCAGAACUCCGAUUGUGAAGGCAGCAUACCGGCGCUCAACUGACGCUCAUGCACGAAAGCGUGGGUAUCGAACAGGAUUAGAUACCCGGGUAGUC